GACGAACGCUGGCGGCGUGCCUAAUACAUGCAAGUAGAACGCACAGUUUAUACCGUAGCUUGCUACACCAUAGACUGUGAGUUGCGAACGGGUGAGUAACGCGUAGGUAACCUGCCUGGUAGCGGGGGAUAACUAUUGGAAACGAUAGCUAAUACCGCAUAAUAUUAAUUAUUGCAUGAUAAUUAAUUGAAAGGUGCAAUUGCACCACUACCAGAUGGACCUGCGUUGUAUUAGCUAGUAGGUGAGGUAACGGCUCACCUAGGCGACGAUACAUAGCCGACCUGAGAGGGUGGUCGGCCACACUGGGACUGAGACACGGCCCAGACUCCUACGGGAGGCAGCAGUAGGGAAUCUUCGGCAAUGGACGAAAGUCUGACCGAGCAACGCCGCGUGAGUGAAGAAGGUUUUCGGAUCGUAAAGCUCUGUUGUAAGAGAAGAACGGGUGUGAGAGUGGAAAGUUCACAGUGUGACGGUAUCUUACCAGAAAGGGGCGGCUAACUACGUG
rnacentral:rRNA from 1 species